rnacentral:rRNA from 1 species
CAGUAGCCGCGGUAAUACGGAGGGUGCAAGCGUUAAUCGGAAUUACUGGGCGUAAAGCGUGCGUAGGCGGUUCGUUAAGUCUGUUGUGAAAUCCCCGGGCUUAACCUGGGAAUGGCAAUGGAUACUGGCAAGCUAGAGUGUGUCAGAGGAUGGUGGAAUUCCCGGUGUAGCGGUGAAAUGCGUAGAGAUCGGGAGGAACAUCAGUGGCGAAGGCGGCCAUCUGGGACAACACUGACGCUGAGGCACGAAAGCGUGGGGAGCAAACAGGAUUAGAUACCCCAGUAGUCCCUGUCUCUUAUAC